UCAAUCCCUAUUCACCCCAUCUACAUCUCCUCGCGUUGCCGCUCGCACCUUGCAUCGCGCCGCCGCUCGCCCCUUGCCUCGCCGCCGCACCCCUCAACUCAUCCGCACCGCCACGCCUGCCCGGCAGGGGAUCAACUGCUCCGUCCUCUGCAAGGUGGCCGCCGCCGGGGAUGUGGAUGGACGCGGAGCUGUCGGCCGCCGGCGAGCGACGAUGCGCAUGUGAGGCGCGCGGCACUGUGCAGCAGUCUCCUCCAUGCCGUCGCCGAGCUCCCUGCUGCCUGCGACGCCCUCUUGUCUCAUCCACACAUGCCUGCCCCUGAUAUCUCCGUCCCUCUCAAUCUCUUCUUUCUGUUCUCAAUGAACUGCAGGUACUGAUACGUGUGUUGUUUUUCAAAUCAACCCUGCUCUUCCUUGUUGGAACCGUUGACAUACAUUGCAUGCUCAUAGGCUCAUGACGUUCUCACGGGAAAACACCAAAAAAUUGUGUAGAGAUGUCUUGGGGAGAUAACACAGAUUUGUUCUCCGUUCAUGUCAAUGCAUCCUAUUAUAUCAUCCCUUUUAUAAUGAUCCUCUUUUUUUUGUGCAGCUAGCUUCGGCAGGUUUGUUAGGCUAAUAUAAAGUAGGGAGGUUUCCUACAUAGUAAUACAACGAUGACACUGAAGGAUGUUUUUGCAACUAGCAAGAUACUUUGUUUAGAAGCUGAUUGUCCUGUCAGACAAUAUAAAACUUUUGCCAUGAUAUUUCCUUAUAUGCAGUUUCAAGGUCACAUGGAUGCUGAUAGCUCUCAGGUGUAUGGCGUAUCUGUUGCUGGCUAUUGUUCCGUUUCUUCCUGGUUUAUACAAUGAAGGACUCUGAAUUGAUGCAUAUAUUGUCUCGAAAAGUAACUAGGCUCCAAAGUGGAGACUGAGAAGAGGUAUGCUUACUGUUGUCUGUGUUGCUCUAUCUACUCAAUCACCUUUAUAUGAACAAGUACAUGGGAAUUGUUUAUCUUAGUGCAUUAGAAAUUUAGAAUUGUUCCUUCGGUGCUAUUGAUGCCACAUCUUCUCUUUUUCUUUUCUUGGGAGUAGAGGUAACAACAAAGGUUUCACUCAAGGAUCAAGCAAAUGAUGUUCUAAUGCUUAUGUCUUCUAAUUCUAAGCAUGACGACAUUAACUGUCCAUGACAUAUUUCUCCUCUUAAAUAAAAAAAGCUAUAUAUAGAAGCACGAAAAUUAGACUGGAUUUAUUGGAUUCUGUUUGGUGCAUAAUUUAUUGCAUAUUAGACGCAACGAUGCCGAUCUAUUAUAUUUAGGUGGGUGUACCAUGUACCAUGCAUACUAUCUUUCAACUAGGCCGUUAGAAGUUGGCAUUUCUGUCAUGCGAGCUUCAGAGAAGGAUUGAUCUGAUUGUCCUUUGAUGUUCUAGAGUUUAGUUUGUUGAUUGUUUCCGUUAUGGUGGUGUUACUUGGAAUAAGAAUGACUCCAGCUGCUUGUAACAUUGGUAGAAUGGUGGAAUUCUAGGAGCAGUCAUUAGUUUCAGUGUAGUUUCUGUGUAACUAAUACAAUCAGUCUAUUAUUAGUCCGCUUUUAUUGUUUUUAUUGGAUGCGUAUCAACCGUGAGGCAUACAUUGUACAUGCAAGAUUACUAAAAUUGUGAAUUUUAUACGAAAGACACGCAUUGCACUAUUUUUGUGGGCACACCAGUUGAUUAACCAUGCUUAACCUUUGGUUUAGUAUGACACAGAACUACCCUCACGUGGUAACAUCCUUUCGCGUCGCACAGAAUUGAGUUCUGCUACUUCAGGUUAAGCCAGAUGAUGGUUCGGCCAGCCAGAUCGGCAUGUGAAAUGCAAGUACAUAACUAAUUACUUUCUUGGAAGAUGUUAUAUGUACGUAUUUGAAAAGGAUCAAUUUUUCGUGGCUAUCACACCGGCAAAACCAAUGAAGUUUGUCAUGGUGGCAUGAUUGCCCCAACUAACUAGAUGUUACUGUUGUUUUAAAUUGUGUUCCUCGGAUUAUUGAGUUAUGCCUGUGCUUAUGGUAUUCGAUACCAAGACACCGCUAUACAAAUUUUAAUCCAUUUAAUCAUAGAAAGAUGUGUUUUGUGUUACCAUGUUCCCUUUUAAAAGUUGUUACAUGAGAAAACAUUCAGUUGCAUUAGUUCACACGUCCAUUGUUUGUGAGGUUUCUUCUAUGCUUGCCAGGGAGUUAACAAGUGCAUUGCAUGUACACUAUUACUAUUACAAUUUAAUGGUACACGCGUAUGUAGGAUGUAAUUUGCUGUUGGGGAAUCUCCAAAUCAUAUAACCAGCUAAAUUGUAUCCUUGUGGAUUUUUCUAACCCGCGGGAACAUGGUAAAUGAUAAGGCCAAAGAAAUAGCUUUGAUGAAAAUGAUUCACAUCAGUUAUGAAUUUUUGAAUUUUUUCUGCAUGUGCCUUUCUAAACUCACAUCAGUUAUGGAUUAUAUGUUGAGAUACUGGCUAAUUAUAGAGAUAUCUUUUAUUAUCUGCUGAUGUUUAUAUACUGUAAAUGGUGGUUGUGGGCAUCCCAAAUAAGCUUGUUCUGACCAUUGGCAUUUUCAUGGACCACCGCGGCAAGAACAUGCCACUAGAGGUUAUGCAGUCUAAUGUCUAGAAGGCUCAAGAUACAAGGCCAAGCUGGAAGCUUGAUCUUCCCAAGGUGUGCUUGCAAGGUCCAGGGCGAUUACAUGCCCAUCACCCGCAGCGGCGAGAAGCACAUGCAUACGACGAGCUCCGUGUCAACAUGAUGAACCAGCACGAGUUGGGGCCCAGGUGAAGAGGUUGUCGACGCGGAGAAAGAGGAGAAAUGAUCACAUGUUUAUAGUAGCUAAUGGAUGAUGUUAUCUUAGUUUGUGAUUUUUUUUGGUCAACUCAGAAACCUUGUUUGAUGUCCGAAAAUCCCUUUCUACCCACUAUUCAAAGCAUCUCUUCAUAGAUCCAACAAUACACUUCAAAUAACUAAGUUGACAUCCAAGAAUAUUUUGAAAAAGGAUGUACUUAUCACCUCAAAUAAUUCUUAUUCAUCACACU